rnacentral:ncRNA from 1 species
UUUCCCGUGAGGGCGUGUGGGAUGGAAGCCGGAGCCGAACCGCAGCACUGAACGCAAGUGAACCCUUAGGCAGGCUCCUCGGACCUGGGCAAGCGUGCUCGCCUACGCGACGCCCGAUAUCCGAUCGUGGCCGUGGAGUAUUGAGGGCAGCGGCGGCGGGACAUUGCUUCACCU